GUUAAAAUAGAAUCUACUUUGAAAUGCAAUCACAUUUUAAAGGUGAACGAAAUUAGAUUAAAAAAAAAAGCCUACCUUUUGAGUUACUUUCAGAAGAUAACACAGGUUCUCGAGGCUGGACAGUCCAAGAUCAAGGUGCCUGCAUCUGGCGUCUAGUGUGGACCCUAUUCCUGGUUUGCAGCAUUGUUGGUGCUCUGAGGGUGUCAGCCAGGCCACUCAUGCAGACCAUUGCGGCAGCACUGAAAAUGGAAGAAAGAUGGGAUUCUGCUGUCUUUUGUUUUGGCUGAUGAACAGCACCGAGAUGGAGUGGCUUUCAACACAAGUCAUUGGUUGGGAGUAGAGGGCACUCUGCAUGGUCGUCUGGAACCAGGGUUUGCCUACAUGAUGGGUCUCCAUUUGCCACCGGCCUUGGACGUCUCCACUGGAUGCUCUGAUUUCACCUGAUAAGUAAAGGGAGAGAGACAGAGCAUGGAGAAUUACACAGAUCUGCAUGGAACAAUGCUGCUUCUCUGCAUGACUAGAGUUUGUUUUCUCUUUGAAGAUAAUCUCACUAGGAUCAAGACCAUACCUGCUGGAGAGUCAGGACUCUGGAUUUCUGAUUGUUUUCAGGACAGCUACCCUCAUCCUAGGCUGAUCUGAGUUUCUGGGUCUUUCUCUGCCUGUUCUUUCCUCUCCCCUUCCCUUCCCUGCUGCAGAAAGUGUUUUAUGUGGGUGUCAGCAACAUCAGGACCUUUCAAGCCCCUUGCCCCAGUAUCAUCCCUGAAUGCAAAACUCACUCAGAGGCCUGGGGAAGAGAUUCGAACUCUGCUUUUCCUCUGCCACCUCAGGUGUGUUCCAGCUUACAAGACACUUUCACAGAAAAAAAGUUCAGGGAAUGGAAUUGGAAGGCAAAAAUAGCUGCUCGAUGCUGACUUGGCACAUUUGACUUUGACCAAAUCAUCCAGCGCCUCGUCCUUAGUACUCUGGUUUCCACAGAAUAAUCCUCAUGCAGUGAGUAGUGGAAGUCAGGAGGAAUAAACUGCCUAGAUGUCAUGAAGGGAAAACAAUGCACAAUAGACUUGUGCAGAAUCUAUUCCUGUCCGUUUCCCUGUGAAUCCAGAUUGCUGAACACUGGCCGAUGUCUGAGCUGUGGUUUCCCCCUGGAUUUGAAAUUUAGUUACUAGAAGACAAUGCUUUUGAAUGGCUUCUUGGCCAUGACUUUCACAGGGCCUGCUGGCUGUUGCCUGAUGAUUGUCUGAUAGGCCUAGCCCCUUGGCAAAGCAAUGUUUCAUUUGCAAAACUACGCUUGUCCGGUGCCUCCUGGGAACUGAAAGCCUGGCAUCAGCAGAGGAACGCAAAUUGGGCAAAUCACGGAUCUCCCAGGCGUGCGUUGCUUGGGGGCCAUGGUACACAGCACUGCUAAAAGUCUAGGACAAUCUAUGUGUUUUAGGAGCAAACCAGUGCCUUGCACUUCUAAGCUGUAUCCUUUGCUCCCUCCCUGAGAGGCAGCCGUGUGCUCUGGGCUUCCUAGCCUUGUAUGACCUCUGAAAAUAUGACCUGAAGCAGAUGGAUGCACUCACAUAAGAAACAUCACCUGUGGCCUUCAUCGAAAAUGGGCCUGCUGCUUGAAGAAGUUGGGCUCUUGGAGUUCUCUAGCACAGGGGCCAUGAAAAUCAAUGACUUCCUUGUUUGCUGACGGAGCAGAGGUAGAAUCUCUUGGUGUUUCCACGGAGAAAACACUGACCAUGAAGAGCCAAGAAAGAUGACAUGAUGAAGCCAUCAGGGGAAGCACCAAACAUCCUCAACUCUGCUCACCCAUGGUUUUCUCCCGCCCUCCCAGAGCUCCUCCUGCUGGCCUUCAUUGGCAUCACCAGCACUGGAGCUAUUCCAGUGAGGAUUUUUGCUGCGGCACAUCACGGAGUGGCAUGAGAGGUCAGAGAACUCCUAGUAUCCCCCAAAUAUCCAUUCUGUUCUUCUUCCUUAGUGAUGGGCCCCCGACAUGAAACUGGCACUCAGAAUGAAGAAUGCCUUUUCCAGCCUCCCUCGCUGGUGGAGUCUCCGUGUUCCAGCCAAUGAAAGGAGGAAGCCUGGACAGCCUGCAGUUGAGGGGACCUGCACAAGCUCACAGGACUCUUCAUCACCAUGACACCACGCUCACCGCAAAAUAAAAAUGAUCAAACCUGUCAUGAUGUCAGCAGCACCGGUGUUGGUCUUUGUGGGAAAGAAAAACACAGGCCAGGGCUGCAGCACGAUUGUGUCUGCCCAGCUCUUGCAGCCUGGAGAACACCGUUGGAUUCCCUCCCACACAUGCUCCCAGGCUGCCUGCCUGCCUCACUUACCUGCUCAGGGUGGGGCUUGAGGGUGGCCCCUGGGAAGAGUAAGAACUGGCCAAGACUGAGAUGUCCUUCCCUCAUUUAAGGUACCGCCUUUUCCCUUUUCCCGCCAUCCUGGGUGCAUGGAUACUUGGGAUUAGAAACUGGACUGGAAAUGUAAUCUUUCUUCGGUUUGGGGCUGAGAACUGGGGAUUAGUAGGAUUUUGAGUUUAUGGCACAGCCUUUUCUUACACCAUUUCCUAAAAAGCAGUUAAGAUUACACCAGGCACAGUGGCUUACGCCUAUAAUCUCAGCACUUUGGGAGGCUGAGG
rnacentral:lncRNA from 10 species